rnacentral:tRNA from 1 species
UCCCUGGUGGCUCAGACAGUAAAGCAUCUGCCUGCAAUGCAGGAGACCCGGGUUCGAUUCCUGGGUUGGGAA